AAGGAAUUAGUUUAAAAAAAACAACUACCUUCGAACUAGUUAACUUAGCUCGCACCCUAAAUUCCUAA
rnacentral:tRNA from 1 species